AUUGAACGCUGGCGGCAGGCCUAACACAUGCAAGUCGAACGAGUGGCGGACGGGUGAGUAAUGUCUGGGAAACUGCCUGCUGGAGGGGGAUAACUACUGGAAACGGUAGCUAAUACCGCAUACCAUCGGAUGUGCCCAGAUGGGAUUAGCUCGUAGGUGGGGUAAAGGAUCACCUAGGCGACGAUCCCUAGCUGGGCUGGGAGGAGGACCAGCCAAACUGGAACUGAGACACGGUCCAGAAUCUGACGGGAGGAAGGAGUGGGGAAUAUUGCACAAUGGGCGCAAGCCUGAUGCAGCCAUGCCGCGGGUAUGAAGAAGGCCUUCGGGUUGUAAAGGACUUUCAGCGGGGAGGCGUUACCCGCAGAAGAAGCACCGGCUAACUCCGUGCCAGCAGCCGCGGUAAUUC
rnacentral:rRNA from 1 species